rnacentral:tRNA from 1 species
GCGGGCGUAGCUUAGUGGUAAAGUUCUAGCUUCCCAAGCUAGCUAGGCGAGUUCGAUUCUCGUCGCCCGCUCCA